CUGCAAGAGUGCUUAAGAAAUAGGCUAUUCAAGGCUGACUGGUUACAAUUGCUAGUGGACAGCUUGCAAAAAAGUAGUUGAUUUUGUCCAUUAACACAUGCUAUAAAAGCUGUAUAAGCUUGUACAUAGUUAUGAGGUUGUUCAAAAAGUUUCUUUGCUGAUGAUUUCCAUUGAUGACUUGCUGGUCCAGUUUUGGUGCUUUCCUAUCAUUUUGGAAGAAAGAUAUAGUUAAAUAUUCCAAUAUGCAAAAUCUCUAAACUUUUAUGUAAGCAAAUGUAUUGUAUAUGUGCAGAUCAUCAAUCUAUAAUGCAAAGCGUGCAAUGACAUUUAAUAUGCAGUAUAUGAAUAUAUAGUUUAGCUUAUGCUACAAACAUCAAAUAGCCAAAAAAAAAAAAAACAAUGAUGUGUAUACAUCAGUAUGAAUAAGAUCAGAACUCAAAACAAAACAACAUAAAAUGCAGAAUUUUUGAACUCAUUACUGCUAAUGGUGGUUAACUGAAAUCAAUAUGGCAACACUGAAUACAUAAAACACAAGAUUUCAAUUUAGCAAGUCAGUAUGGCUAUAUGGUACACAUAAAAAGCUGGAUUUCAAAUGAGCAGAAUUUACAGAUAUGAUCCCUAAGAAACAUGAGGGAAGUCCAGUAGCACUGUGUAACAACAACUCAAAACAGAUUUUGAGUUGCCAGCAAUAUGCCUAUUCUUUUUUCUUUUUUUUCUUUUUGAAGGAAAAUAAUAUACCUAUUACACUUGCACUUCUUAAUGGACCAUUAAAAGUUCAACUUUCAGUUUCUGGCAGCUUACUCAAGGUACACGAUGUAAUAAUAAAUAGUAAUAAAUAGUAAAAUGGAAGUAUUCUGGUAUAAUUUCUACUUGUCAUCCAUAUCUAUCAUAAAAACAAAGAUCAUACGAUGAUGAUGUAUAGAGUUUCUAUCUUGUAAGAAUUGGUACCGCACUCUGGUUUAUUUUGUAGUAAAUCAAAAUGAAAAUAUAAACUUUAUGUUGUUCAGGUUUAUUCUUUUGCAUUUGUAUUACCAUCUUUUCUAGUACUUAAAUCCUCUUAAUCUAAUGGAUUUACCCUAUAAAACCCCUUAUGAUCCACUGCUCUGCCCCCCAGCCCCCGCCCCCCCCCCCCUCCUUAUAUAAUCAAUAAUAUUUUAAUGUCCAGAACUAUUUCAUCUGCUCACACCACAUGGAUUCUAAACUAUAUCAACCCCAAGUAAUCCUCUCACUGAAUUAUAGCUCUCUACAAAAUAAUAAUAAAACAUGAAAAGGAAAUUCAAUAUACAUAAUAAGGAAAACAUGAUACUUCGAACUGCAUAAAAAAAAAAAAGAAGAUAAGUACCCAUAUUAAAUGACUCUGAAGGGGUGGAUCAGCAGCUGUAGAAAUCCCCAAAAUCAGCUUAUUGCCAAAAACGUAAACUGAGAGAAGGAAUCAAAGACAAAGACGAAGAGAGAAGAAACCUGAGAGAGAAAGAGAGAACGUCUCUUUUUGGAGGGUCGUCUCUCGUCGUGGAGAGAGAACACAGAGCCACGUAGCAGAAGACUUACAGCUGUCGGCGUUAUCAGCUCACGGCAGCACUGGUAGAUUCUGUAAUUGAGUUAGGGGCAAAACCAGCGUUCGCUAGAGUUUGACUUCAGGAGGUUGCGAGAGGGAAGGCAAGCGGUUGCGAGAGAGAGGAGCUGGUCUCGAAGCUUCUAAGAGGUGGCCGAAGAGAAAAAUUGGGCUACUUUCAACAAACAACAGACUGGAUGGGAAUCUUGAGAUCACAGCGAAAUCUUCAGAUCGGUUUUGAAGCUUCUAAGAGAUGGCUGAAGAGAAAAAAUGAGGCGCAAGAUGAAGAACGAAGCAGGUCCAUUGAGGCCCAAAACUGUUCCGUAUUAACAGUUGCUUGAACAGUAUUUUAAACAAUAAAACAGUGCAACGAAAAAUAGUAUAAUGUUAAUGUUAAAUGCCUCCAUGUGAGACAUAUAAUCUAUGUAACAUUGUUUCAAUAAAGAGCCCAGCAUCUUGUUCAGCGAUCACUAGGCCUCACUGUGAGUCUUACAAUCAAAACCGAGACAAAAGAUACCGAUCUGAAACAAAACAAAACAAAAAACCCACAAUCAUAAUCAAAAGAACGAAAUCAUUGUGGCAACUCAUGAAAUUCAUCAGAAAAAUUUUGGGUUGCUGGAAAAAUAUGUCUGGCUAUGAGCAUGAUAAUACAAUUCGACAUAAGAAUGCAACACCAAUCAGAUACACAGUUUCAAAGCAUCAUCGGAACACUUCACAUGACUAUACACCGCAUCCCAUAAAUACACAGUUUUAGGGCUGUAAAUCUCACCUCUAACUUCCUCCUAAGUAACUCCACUUCCUCAAUCUUCUCAUGUAUCUUACUUUCAUAGUUCGAUAUAGCCUUUUCAUAGGCAGCAUUUUCCUCCUGCAAUGUCACCUCUCUCAACUGGGCCUGUCCACAAUUCCAAACAGGAUCAAUGAAACUCAAUCAGUACCAAAAAACAGGUGAGUUCUGGAAUACUCCGGAGCAUCCAUGCUCCGCGUUUGUCUUGGUUACGUGUCGAUCCUCCAUUAGGUUGUGUAUUUCGUCCGUGUUAGUCUCCUUGAGCACGUGAGUUGCAUAACUCAGUAAGUAUUUCAUCCGCAAUCAAGAGAGGGCAGACAAGUUGGAUGUGGAAGAUCGAUCUAUCUCCCUCUCCUUGAUCUGAUCGGCUUGCUUAAGAGCGGCCGUUUUGAUAUCGUUGGCUAUCUUGGAGGGCAUCGGCGGCGAACUCGCGGGAUCGCUUGAGAUUUUGGCGGCGAACUGGUGAUGGUCUGAUUUCUUGGCUGCUUCUUUGGCGAAGCUAUUGGGUCGUUUCCACAGAUCUUCCAUUGUUUGUCUCUUCAAUUGCAGGACUGAGGGAGAGAAAGAUAACGUGUUGGUGGGUUUGGUAGUGGUGGGUGUGUGCUUUGUGUUGGUGGUGGUUGUUAUUUCCUUCUCUCUCUUUUUUCUUUUUUGUCUGCUUGGAAUCAAAAUCUAGAGAUGGGAAUGACUCCAUGUUGUGACAAGAAUGGGCUGAAGAGAGGUACGUCCAUGGACUCCUGAUGAGGAUGAGAUUCUUGUCAAUUACAUCAACACAAAUAAGGGACAUGGCAGCUGGAUAAUCUCUUCCACAGCAUGCAGGUUUUGUGUGUAAUGCUAGCUACAUGUUCUAUCUGGGUUUUGGUCCAUUGUUAAGGAAUAAGACUUAUCAAAACCGGAUCCAACCCAGAAAACGAAGAAAGAUGACAAAUGGAGGAGAGAUACCCAGACCGAAACUGUGUUUCGCACUACCCAAGUCCUUAGAUCUGAGGAAUAAAACUUAUCAAAAGAAAAAACAAUUAAAACUAAUACCCACGCACCACGCGCCUAGCAAUGGCGUGCUUGCAAUCGACUGGUUAACCGGUUUAUUCACUUUUUACUUCUGUCAGAAAACAAACGCGAAACACGGACGCUCCGGAGCAUUCCAGACGUCUCCCCAAAAACAACCCAAAAUCCCAAACCUUUAACUACAACCACAUCCCCAAACUAACAAAAAUCCAAUCUUUCAAUAACACACGCAACAAUUCCAAUCAGAACCAAAGACCUAGAUAAGAAAGAUCCAAACUUCAACCAAAUAAAGCAACAAUUGUUACAAUUUACAACCAAUUUCAAGAACCCAGAUAGAAAAUUAAGGGCAAUAAAUUUAGUGGAGGGGUGGAUCAGCAGCUGUAGAAAUCCCCAAAAUCAGCUUAUUGCCAAAAACAUAAACUGAGAGAAGGAAUCAAAGACAAAGACGAAGAGAGAAGAAACCUGAGAGAGAAAGAGAUGAAAGAGAGAACAUCUCUUUUUGGAGGAUCGUCUCUCGUCGUGGAGAGAGAACACGGAGCCACGCAACAGAAGACUUACAGCUGUCGACGUUAUCAGCUCAUGGCAGCACUGGUAGAUUCUGUAAUUGAGUCAAGGGCAAAACCUGCGUUUGCUAGAGUUUGAGGUUACGAGAGAGAAGGCAAGAGGUUGCGAUAGAGAGGAGCUGGUCUCGAAGCUUCUAAGAGGUGGCCGAAGAGAAAAAUUGGGCUACUUUCAACAAACAACAGACUGGAUGGGAAUCUUGAGAUCACAGCGAAAUCUUCAGAUCGGUCUUGAAGCUUUUAAGAGAUGGCUGAAGAGAAAAAAUUAAUGAGGCGCAAGAUGAAGAACGAAGCAGUUCCAUUGAGUUCCAAAACUGUUCUGUAUGAACAGUUGCUUGAACAGUAUUUUAAACAGUAAAACAGUGCGACGAAAAAUAGUAUAAUGAGGAAAAUUUUCAAAUGGUGCCUCAAGUUAAGUCCAUUCAUCAUUUUGACACCCCAAUAUUGAAAACUAUGAUACUGGUACCUCAACACUUAAACUCAACUCAACAUUAGUUCCCUCCGUGAUUGACACCGUUAAGUUGGAUUUUGUCCAUGGGCAAAAUUGUCUCUUCAUGUUUUCCUUCCACAAACCUUAUAAGUUGAAUUAGAGUUUCUCGACCUGAAGAUAUCAACUAUGAAUGUGAGUCCUAUUACCUAGUUAUCUAUAUAUGUUUCAUGAACUUCUGUACUUGAUAC
rnacentral:lncRNA from 1 species